UAAUAUCCCCAAAGCAGCAUUUAUUUACCCACUGAAUUCCAAAACAUUUAAUUUAGAAGUCUGGCAUUUCAUAAUCACCCAUCUUGAUUGACGUGGGCUGACACACACGGUGCUGUCAGGAUACACAAGGACAAUAGCCAAAAAGUUACAAAAAAUAAAUCCAUGAUUCUUAAACCAUCGCAACCAAAAAAAGAAAAAGUUACAGGUAUCAAAACUUUAGAUGCAUUGCAUUGAAAAGAAGGUUUGUGCACGUCAUAAUUUAAAGAGGCAAAACAAGGCGCUACUGAAACCUCACGUUGAAGUUUGUUAGAAAGCUGACGGAAAGGAGCAAGUGGCCUCUUUGUGUCAGCUUCCCUUAACAGUUUCCCAUUAGCUGAAGAAAGGGGUGGGAGGGGUGAAUUCAUUUUUGCAUGCACAAGAUGUACUGCUUAACAAAACACUAUCAGCUUGUUUUAAAUGGAUCAUUUAAAUAUCAAUUGUAGCCUGUGUUGGCUAAUUCUCCUUUCUAAACUUCCCCAUUGCUCUCUCCUGGAUUUCACAUAGAUCAACAGGCAUCAAAAUGCCUCAUUCAGAACGCACUUGUCUGCACAUUCGAAAAGGGAGCUCCUGUGGGCUCAAAGCAACCAUCAUUCCAGCAAUGCCCAUGAAGAUUUAUCUGAAACUGCUUCCCAAGGGGCAGGAGAGCAGAUCUGAGUAGCUGUGCUGCCAAUACAGAUAGGUUUAGCACUAGAUAUUUAGUGAUUGUGGCAAGGAAGAAUUGGUGAUGAUGGGGGUGGUGGGUGAAGGAAGGGCCAGGGACCUGAAGGCUCUUCAGUUGCCUUCUCCUGCUUCUUCAUCCUGCUGGUCGCUCGUCCAGAGGGUGAGGUUGUCUCGCAGCAACUGCAUGAUGAGCGUGGAGUCCUUAUAGGAAUCCUCGUUUAGUGUGUCCAGCUCAGCUAUGGCAUCAUCGAAGGCUUGUUUGGCUAAGAGGCAGGCCUGCUCAGGCGCAUUCUGGAUCUCAUAGUAGAACACGGAGAAGUUGAGGGCCAGGCCCAGCCGAAUGGGGUGCGUUGGCUGCAUGUGCUCUUUGCUGAUUUCAAAGGCUUCUUUGUAGGCAGCCUCAGAAGCUUCGACCACACUGUUUUUCUUCUCCCCGGAAGCUACCUCUGCCAAGUAGCGGUAGUAAUCGCCUUUCAUUUUCAGGUAAAAUACCUUGCUCUCAUACUGAAAAUCAUUGCAGUUCUUGAUGAGGAACUUGUCAAGCAGAGCCAGGACAUCAUUGCACACUGUUUCCAGCUCCUUCUCAAUCUUCUCCCGGUAAGCUUUAACUUUCUCCAAUUUCUUUUCAUUUCCAUCAGCCAUGGUCUUCUGCUCAAUGCUGCUGAUGACCCUCCAGGAAGAUCGCCUGGCACCAACCACAUUCUUGUAGGCCACAGAGAGGAGGUUUCGAUCUUCAUUGGAGAGAGGUUCAUUGAGCUCCCUCACCGCCUUCAUGGCGGAGGCCAUGUCGUCGUAGCGCUCCGCCUGCUCGGCCAGCCGCGCCCGCUGCAGCAGCUGCUCCCGGUCCCCCAUGUCGCUCGUGGCUCGGCCUCGCCUCGCGCCCCGCACCGCUCGCUCGCUCGCCCGCCCGCCGAUCCGCUCCCGGGUCUCCGCGAGGGCCGCCGCCGCGCACGCGCAGUGGCUCGCCGGCCGGCCGGAGGCUGCAGGCUGCAGGCAGCAGAGCGGCUCGCGCCCUCUCGCUGUCUCGCCCCGCGCGCUGUGGCUCACGCCGCGGACGCCGCCGAGGGAGGAGAGGCGGCUGCGCGGGGGGAUGGGAGCACGCGAGGACGCCUGCGCAGUGGGAGCGGCCGGGCCGGGCGGCGGGGAGCGGCGGGAGUGGGAAGGGGGCAGGGCGGGCUGGCCCUAACGGUCUAUUUCAAGGUGACGUCACCUACUAUAAAUAGCUGCUGCCGCCGCCGCCCAGCCCGAGGGCCGCGCAGGCGCCCUGCGAGUGCUGCAUUUUACCGCCGCAUAGGUGGAGGUGGGAGAGGAGAGCGGGGUGGGGACUGCGGAGCCCCAGGAGGGCGCGCGGUGAUGGCGGCGACGCGGGCAGCGCAUUCUCACAGCCCCACCCUGAAAAGCGCCUCAGAAUCCAGAUGAGGAAACUGAGGUUAAAUGUAUUCUCAACUGCAGCACAGAAAGCAGGGCAGAAACCAGGAUCCAGACCCACUCUACCUUCACCAUUCUUUCCACUGCUGCCCCUGACCUUCUGAGAGCCUGUGAAUACUCUUUUGGUUGUUGAGCUGUGAGCAUAACUGUCAUCAGCUCCUGCUUAAACGUAUGUGAGUAGGAGGCGAGCAGAUUGCUACAGCCUUCUGUCUUCUUCCAGACGACAAUGGCAGGCUGGCCCCGACUCAGGAAACAAAGGGAUCUGGGAGGAAUGAAGCCACAGGAGAAAGCCGACUCCAGGAGGCUGGUCUCUGCAGACACAGCACUGAGCUGCUGCUGGAGUCAAGGAUGAGGACGCCAAGGGCCCAGAAAGGAGCAGACCAGCCCAGAGGCUCGCAGGGCAGAGCUGGGGUCUGCCUGGUCUGCAGUCACCCACAUGAGACUGCAUCAGCUGAGUUGCAGGUCCUUCUAGUUGUGGCAUGUGGGACACCACCUCAGUGAGGCCUGACUAGCAGUGCCAUGUCCAUGCCCAGGAUCCGAACCGGUGAAACCGGGCCGCCAGAGCGGAACACGCAAACUUAACCACUCGGCCCCGGGGCCAGCCCCAAGAACCUGUAUUUCUAUUUGCUAAAUCUGGCAACCCUGUGCAAACUGCCUUCAGGAAAAAA
rnacentral:lncRNA from 1 species